AGAGUUUGAUCCUGGCUCAGGAUGAACGCUAGCGACAGGCUUAACACAUGCAAGUCGAGGGGCAGCGCGAGGGCAGCAAUACCUUGGCGGCGACCGGCGCACUGGUGAGUAACACGUAUGCGACCUGCCCGGACAGGGGGAUAAACCCGGGAAACUGGGCCUAAUACCCCGUAAGCCUGAGGGAUGCAUGUCCUUGAGGUGAAAGAUCCGUCGGUCCGGGAUGGGCAUGCGGCGCAUUAGCUGGUUGGCGGGGCAACGGCCCACCAAGGCGACGAUGCGUAGGGGUUCUGAGAGGAAGGUCCCCCACACUGGUACUGAGACACGGACCAGACUCCUACGGGAGGCAGCAGUGAGGAAUAUUGGUCAAUGGACGAUAGUCUGAACCAGCCAAAAGUCGCGUGCGGGAUGAAGGCCCUCCGGGUCGUAAACCGCUUUAGCCGGGGAGUAACGUGGGGGACGCGUCCCUCAGUGAGAGUACCCGGAGAAUAAGCAUCGGCUAACUCCGUGCCAGCCGCUGC
rnacentral:rRNA from 1 species